rnacentral:rRNA from 1 species
GACGAACGCUGGCGGCGUGCUUAACACAUGCAAGUCGAACGGAAAGGCCCCUUCGGGGGUACUCGAGUGGCGAACGGGUGAGUAACACGUGAGUAACCUGCCCUGACUUCGGGAUAACUUCAGGAAACUGGGGCUAAUACCGGAUAGGAAUCCUUGCUGCAUGGUGGGGGUUGGAAAGCUUCGGCGGUUUUGGGUGGACUCGCGGCUUAUCAGCUUGUUGGUGGGGUAGUGGCUUACCAAGGCUUUGACGGGUAGCCGGCCUGAGAGGGCGACCGGCCAAAUUGGGACUGAGAUACGGCCCAGACUCCUACGGGAGGCAGCAGUGGGGAAUAUUGCACAAUGGGCGGAAGCCUGAUGCAGCAAAGCCGCGUGCGGGAUGACGGCCUUCGGGUUGUAAACCGCUUUCAGCAGGGGCGAAGCUUGUGGUGACGGUACCUGCAGAAGAAGCACCGGCUAACUACGUG